AACUGUGUUGAAAAGCUAAGUUUGGGGUAAAAACCCCAAAAGCUCUCAAAGCCCUAGAAAGUGCAAAACCAAAAGAAAAAGAAAAAUUGAUGAAUCGAGAAAGAGAAAGAAAAAUAAAAAUCAAAUACUCGAUGAAUCAAAAGAAAGAAGCACGGAAAAGGGCAGUCGGUAAAAAUUCAAGAAAUAAGAAAAGAAAACCGAGGAAAUAAAAGAAACAAACACAGAAUAUAACAUCGACUCUG
rnacentral:lncRNA from 1 species